CCUACGGGAGGCAGCAGUGAGGAAUAUUGGUCAAUGGACGAGAGUCUGAACCAGCCAAGUAGCGUGAAGGAUGACUGCUCUAUGGGUUGUAAACUUCUUUUAUAUGGGAAUAAAAUGUUCCACGUGUGGGAUUUUGUAUGUACCAUAUGACUAAGGAUCGGCUAACUCCGUGCCAGCAGCCGCGGUAAUACGGAGGAUCCGAGCGUUAUCCGGAUUUAUUGGGUUUAAAGGGAGCGUAGGUGGAUUGUUAAGUCAGUUGUGAAAGUUUGCGGCUCAACCGUAAAAUUGCAGUUGAAACUGGCAGUCUUGAGUACAGUAGAGGUAGGCGGAAUUCGUGGUGUAGCGGUGAAAUGCUUAGAUAUCACGAAGAACUCCGAUUGCGAAGGCAGCUCACUGGACUGCAACUGACACUGAGGCUCGAAAGUGUGGGGAUCAAACAGGAUUAGAUACCCCAGUAGUC
rnacentral:rRNA from 1 species